GGGUUGUGAGGUUAAGCGACUAAGCGUACACGGUGGAUGCCCUGGCAGUCAGAGGCGAUGAAGGACGUGCUAAUCUGCGAUAAGCGUCGGUAAGGUGAUAUGAACCGUUAUAACCGGCGAUUUCCGAAUGGGGAAACCCAGUGUGAUUCGUCACACUAUCAUUACGUGAAUACAUAGCGUAAUGAAGCGAACCGGGGGAACUGAAACAUCUAAGUACCCCGAGGAAAAGAAAUCAACCGAGAUUCCCCCAGUAGCGGCGAGCGAACGGGGAGCAGCCCAGAGUCUGAAUCAGCUUGUGUGUUAGUGGAACGGUCUGGAAAGUCCGACGGUACAGGGUGAUAGUCCCGUACACCAAAAUGCACAGGUUGUGAACUCGAAGAGUAGGGCGGGACACGUGGUAUCCUGUCUGAAUAUGGGGGGACCAUCCUCCAAGGCUAAAUACUCCUGACUGACCGAUAGUGAACCAGUACCGUGAGGGAAAGGCGAAAAGAACCCCGGCGAGGGGAGUGAAAAAGAACCUGAAACCGUGUACGUACAAGCAGUGGGAGCAUCCUUUUGGGUGUGACUGCGUACCUUUUGUAUAAUGGGUCAGCGACUUAUAUUCUGUAGCAAGGUUAACCGUAUAGGGGAGCCGAAGGGAAACCGAGUCUUAACUGGGCGUUAAGUUGCAGGGUAUAGACCCGAAACCCGGUGAUCUAGCCAUGGGCAGGUUGAAGGUUGGGUAACACUAACUGGAGGACCGAACCGACUAAUGUUGAAAAAUUAGCGGAUGACUUGUGGCUGGGGGUGAAAGGCCAAUCAAACCGGGAGAUAGCUGGUUCUCCCCGAAAGCUAUUUAGGUAGCGCCUCGUGAACUCAUCUUCGGGGGUAGAGCACUGUUUCGGCUAGGGGGUCAUCCCGACUUACCAACCCGAUGCAAACUGCGAAUACCGAAGAAUGUUAUCACGGGAGACACACGGCGGGUGCUAACGUCCGUCGUGAAGAGGGAAACAACCCAGACCGCCAGCUAAGGUCCCAAAGUCAUGGUUAAGUGGGAAACGAUGUGGGAAGGCACAGACAGCCAGGAUGUUGGCUUAGAAGCAGCCAUCAUUUAAAGAAAGCGUAAUAGCUCACUGGUCGAGUCGGCCUGCGCGGAAGAUGUAACGGGGCUAAACCAUGCACCGAAGCUGCGGCAGCGACACUAUGUGUUGUUGGGUAGGGGAGCGUUCUGUAAGCCGUUGAAGGUGUAUCGUGAGGUAUGCUGGAGGUAUCAGAAGUGCGAAUGCUGACAUAAGUAACGAUAAUGCGGGUGAAAAACCCGCACGCCGGAAGACCAAGGGUUCCUGUCCAACGUUAAUCGGGGCAGGGUGAGUCGACCCCUAAGGCGAGGCCGAAAGGCGUAGUCGAUGGGAAACAGGUUAAUAUUCCUGUACUUGGUGUUACUGCGAAGGGGGGACGGAGAAGGCUAUGUUAGCCGGGCGACGGUUGUCCCGGUUUAAGCAUGUAGGCGGAGGUUCCAGGUAAAUCCGGUACCUUUUUAACGCUGAGGUGUGAUGACGAGGCACUACGGUGCUGAAGUAACAAAUGCCCUGCUUCCAGGAAAAGCCUCUAAGCAUCAGGUAACACGAAAUCGUACCCCAAACCGACACAGGUGGUCAGGUAGAGAAUACCAAGGCGCUUGAGAGAACUCGGGUGAAGGAACUAGGCAAAAUGGUGCCGUAACUUCGGGAGAAGGCACGCUGAUAUGUAGGUGAAGUGAUUUACUCAUGGAGCUGAAAUCAGUCGAAGAUACCAGCUGGCUGCAACUGUUUAUUAAAAACACAGCACUGUGCAAACACGAAAGUGGACGUAUACGGUGUGACGCCUGCCCGGUGCCGGAAGGUUAAUUGAUGGGGUUAUCCGUAAGGAGAAGCUCUUGAUCGAAGCCCCGGUAAACGGCGGCCGUAACUAUAACGGUCCUAAGGUAGCGAAAUUCCUUGUCGGGUAAGUUCCGACCUGCACGAAUGGCGUAAUGAUGGCCAGGCUGUCUCCACCCGAGACUCAGUGAAAUUGAACUCGCUGUGAAGAUGCAGUGUACCCGCGGCAAGACGGAAAGACCCCGUGAACCUUUACUAUAGCUUGACACUGAACACUGGUCCUUGAUGUGUAGGAUAGGUGGGAGGCUUUGAAGUGUGGACGCCAGUCUGCAUGGAGCCAUCCUUGAAAUACCACCCUUUAAUGGCUGGUGUUCUAACGUGGACCCGUUACCCGGGUUGCGGACAGUGUCUGGUGGGUAGUUUGACUGGGGCGGUCUCCUCCUAAAGAGUAACGGAGGAGCACGAAGGUUAGCUAAUCCUGGUCGGACAUCAGGAGGUUAGUGCAAAGGCAUAAGCUAGCUUGACUGCGAGAGUGACGGCUCGAGCAGGUGCGAAAGCAGGUCUUAGUGAUCCGGUGGUUCUGAAUGGAAGGGCCAUCGCUCAACGGAUAAAAGGUACUCCGGGGAUAACAGGCUGAUACCGCCCAAGAGUUCAUAUCGACGGCGGUGUUUGGCACCUCGAUGUCGGCUCAUCACAUCCUGGGGCUGAAGUAGGUCCCAAGGGUAUGGCUGUUCGCCAUUUAAAGUGGUACGCGAGCUGGGUUUAGAACGUCGUGAGACAGUUCGGUCCCUAUCUGCCGUGGGCGCUGGAGAAUUGAGGGGGGCUGCUCCUAGUACGAGAGGACCGGAGUGGACGCAUCACUGGUGUUCGGGUUGUCAUGCCAAUGGCAUUGCCCGGUAGCUAAAUGCGGAAGAGAUAAGUGCUGAAAGCAUCUAAGCACGAAACUUGCCCCGAGAUGAGUUCUCCCUGAGACUUUAAGUCUCCUGAAGGAACGUUGAAGACGACGACGUUGAUAGGUCGGGUGUGUAAGCGUAGCGAUACGUUGAGCUAACCGAUACUAAUGAACCGUGAGGCUUAACCUUACAACGCCGAAG
rnacentral:rRNA from 1 species